rnacentral:rRNA from 1 species
UACAGAGGUCCCAAGCGUUGUUCGGAUUCACUGGGCGUAAAGGGUGCGUAGGCGGUCGGGUAAGUCUGACGUGAAAUCUUCAAGCUCAACUUGGAAACUGCGUCCGAUACUAUUCGGCUAGAGGAAUGGAGGGGAGACUGGAAUACUUGGUGUAGCAGUGAAAUGCGUAGAGAUCAUGAGGAAGACCAGUGGCGAAGGCGGGUCUCUGGACAGUUCCUGACACUGAGGCACGAAGGCCAGGGGAGCAAACGGG